rnacentral:lncRNA from 1 species
UAUUGUUCGGCAAAUUUAUCUCUAUUGUUAUACUAUCCUGUCAAAUUGUAUAGAGUUGAAUCGUGUUGACUAGCAAAGCUAUCGAAAUCACAUGCAUCAACGGUCAUAGCAUUUAAUUACAAUGAAGCUGGAUAAGUAUAUAUUAUGGAUACACAGUGUAGUUAACAAAGUAGAUUAAUGGUUUGAGUUCCAGCAAAAAUAUGUUGUAGCAUACUUAUGUAUCAUGAAGCCUUGGGUAUAGGUGAUUCAUCUGUCCGUCAAGUUUUGAUGGACAAAGUUACCUAAUAUUUAUGUUGGUAGCAAAUAACAGGCAUAUGAUGAAAUGGUUAAGAUGUGAAUAAGUGACCCUACAUCAUUGUUAAUAUUUUAAAAAUAUUAACACAUUAUAGCCUAUUAUCAUGUCUUACUAUUCGGUUAAUA